rnacentral:tRNA from 1 species
AGGGGCGUCGCCACGUGGUAAGGCACCGGGUUUUGAUCUCGGCAUCCGGUGGUUCGAAUCCAGCCGCCCCUGCCA